CUCUUAGGGACUUCUAAGUAACCCCUGCCCUAUGAUUUAUUAAAUGGCCGCAGUAUCUUGACUGUGCAAAGGUAGCAUAAUCACUUGUCCCUUAAUUGGGGGCUAGAAUGAAGGGGGCGACGAAAAAUAAUCUUUUGAAGAAUUAUGAAUAAGUUGACAUAAGCGUCAAAAGGCUCUUAUAUCUCUGGGGGACGAUAAGACCCUAUAAAACUUUACCUUUAACAUAUUUCUAUUUGGAGGAGAGAGAGCUAGAGGGUUUAACUGGGGCGGUUUUUAUAAUAUCUGUAAAAGAUCAAAUAUGAAAAAUAAAUAGCUAUAACUUAAUUAAAAAUUUAACCAAGUUACUUUAGGGAUAACAGCAUGAUCCUCUCAGAGAGUUCAAAUCGGCGGGGGGGAUUAUGACCUCGAUGUUGAAUUGGGAAGACUUUUUUGGGCAGCUUUAAAAAUAGUUAGUCUGUUCGACUAUUAAAUUCCC
rnacentral:rRNA from 1 species